UACAGAGGUCUCAAGCGUUGUUCGGAUUCAUUGGGCGUAAAGGGUGCGUAGGCGGCGCGGUAAGUUGGGUGUGAAAUCCCGGGGCUUAACCUCGGAAUUGCAUUCAAUACUGCUUCGCUAGAGUACUGGAGAGGAGGCUGGAAUUUACGGUGUAGCAGUGAAAUGCGUAGAUAUCGUAAGGAAGGCCGGUGGCGAAAGCGAGCCUCUGGACAGUUACUGACGCUGAUGCACGAAGGCCAGGGGAGCAAACGGG
rnacentral:rRNA from 1 species